UACGGAGGUGGCAAGCGUUACUCGGAAUUAUUGGGUGUAAAGGGCGGGCAGGCGGUCUAAUAAGUGGGUGGUGAAAUACUCCGGCUCAAUCGGAGAACUGCCUUCCAAACUGUUAGACUUGAGUAUGACAGAGGAAAAUGGAAUUCUCGGUGUAAGGGUGAAAUCUGUAGAUAUCGAGAAGAACACCAGCAGCGAAGGCGAUUUUCUGGGUCAUUACUGACGCUCAACCGCGAAAGCUAGGGGAGCAAACAGA
rnacentral:rRNA from 1 species